ACGAGGAUGACCUUGAACUCAAG
rnacentral:piRNA from 1 species